AAGUAUCAAUGACGUCAUAGCGAUGGUGCAAGCUGGCCGAGAAGGAAGGAAUACGAAAUUGACAAUGUCGAUGUUUUAACGUUUUGAGAUACAUUCUGAUUACAAUUACAAUCGGAAUUCAUUCGUUUCUAAAUAAAUAUUAUCUUAGGGGUUUAUAGUUUAAAGCCGUAGAGGAUGGCCCGUUCUGCAGCUCAGAACCAGGAGCGCCAAGGCCAGCGCUCUGCUCAACAAGGGGGUCAAUCCAAGCCCAGCAAAGGACAGCGUCAGGAUGCAGCAGAACGGAAGAGGGACGAGCGAGCCAUCAGGAAUGCUUACAGGAAGACGAAAAAGGACGAAUCGUACCUUGCAGACGAUCAGAACUUUGCAAGCUUUGCCACCCAGCUGCAGAGUAUGGGUCUUCAAUUGAGAGAUAUUCCUGGUGAUGGAAACUGUUUAUUCCGAGCUCUUGGGGACCAGUUGGAAGGCCACGGUCGCAACCACAUGGCUCACCGGUUAGACGUUGUACAGUAUAUGAGAGAUCACAAAGACAACUUUGAACCCUUUAUGGAAGACGACGUACCAUUUGAGAGACAUUUGUCCAACCUGGCCAAGCCUGGUACCUAUGCAGGAAAUGACAGUAUCGUGGCCUUUGCUCGCCUCCUGAAGGUCAAUGUGGUCAUUCAUCAAUUGAAUCUUCCAGUAUGGAGGAUUGUAGGUUCAGAUAAGCCCUCAUGCAAGGAACUUCAUAUAUCCUACCAUAAUGGUGACCAUUACUCUAGUGUAAGGAAGCUGGGUGACAACUCAGAGAAAGCUACCAACUUCAGGAACGGUGGCGAGUCAUCUAGUUCAGACAUUAAAACCAAGCCUAAGGCCAGGACAAAGUCCAAAGUGAGCGAUGAGAUCGAUGCACCGUACACCAAUGGAACAGUAGAAGAAGAUGGUCUCAUCGACGUAGAAUUACAUAUAAUGGUCGAGACAGGCUGUGAGGAUGUGCAAUUAAUACGAGAGACUUUCAUGGACAAUGAAUGCAACGUGGAUGCAACUAUAGGAGUGUUACUUCAAGUCACCAACGCUGACUGUGAUACAUUUUCUCAUGAUAAAAACUCUAUAAAAUCAGGAGAGCGAUCACCUCAGGGUGCUGCCGGCAUCUGGUCUACAGACGGCUCCGGAACUAGAUUAUUUGGUGUACCUGAAGACAGUGAUAGUAGUAGUAGCAGCAAGACACAGCCAAAUAGGACUCCCGGGGGGAAAGCCAAGAAUCAGAGUACCAGGCAGCAGAAAGCCCAGAAGCGGCUCGAGAAGAAGCAGAGACAGGCGGAGAGACAUCGACAGAGGAUACAGGGCGAAAAUUGCCAUAGCAACACGACAACCAGCAGUGACGAGGAAAGCAGCAGUGUUGUGCUCGUCGGCCAGAUGGGAGCGCUCUCAAUAUGACGACACCAGAUGCACUAGUUAUGUUACGAAAAUAGACACUUCAGGGAUUCAAUAUAGUAUCUGAGUUUUCAUUUCAUUCUGUCUGUGACGACCGCGCUUUGAUGAACAUUGCUAGCUGAGAAUGAUAGUUUGUUAUAUAAUUUUAUGAGCGAGUACAAGCAGCUCUUUUGUUUAGAUAUUCAAUGCAAGAGAUGAAUCAACCGAGGAACUAAUUUUGCAUUUAGCACACCAGAAGCUAGCUUAUGAUGAUAGUAUAUUACAUAAUUUUAUGAGCGAGUACAAGCAGCUCUUUUGUGUUUGGAGAUUCAAUGCAAGAGAUGAUUCAACCGAGGAACUAAUUUUGCAUUUAACACACUAGAAGCUAGCUCAUGAUGAUAGUAUGUUACAUAAUUUUAUGAGCGAGUACAAGCAGCUCUUUGGUUUAGAGAUUCAAUGCAACGGAUGAAUCAACCGAGGAACUAAUUUUGCAUUUAACACACUAGAAGCUAGCUCAUGAUGAUAGUUUGUUUUAUAUUUUUAUGAGCGAGUACAAGCAGCUCUUUUGCGUUUGGAGAUUCAAUGCAACGGAUGAAUCAACUGAGGAACUAAUUUUGCAUUUUGCAAGUUUUUUAGGUUCAUAUCCCUGUAUUAAAGAGAAUGAAAAUACAAUGUAAUAAAAUUCUGAAUCUCUAUCCAAUGGGCGAUUCAGUGUAAUGUUUCCAGUUCGACAUAUCGUCGGCCGGCUGGCAGAAGGGCGUUAGCGCGCAAGCAACUCAAAAACUACUUUUCGAAUUAUUCGCAUUUAAAGAUUUGUUUUAUACUUAAACUGCUUUCCAUCCCAAAAAUUGGUUUAAAACUUAAAAGACUAAUAGAAAUGUUAUAGUAGAACAUGGCCACAAGUUUUGUCGGAAAUAAGUCUGUUUUAUAAAAGUUUGAGGCGAUUAAGUGCUAACGCCCUUCUGCUUAACGCUUCAUUUUUUACCUGAAAUUUGAGCUAACGCCCCUCUGCCAGCAAGGCGACGAUAUGUCCAUUGUCCCCAUAAUUCGUCAAUAAAGAAAGAAUCUCUUGAUAUUGCAAUUGAACAUUGCUGCUUUCUGAUAUCACUACAGUUACACUUUAUCAAGAGAUUUUUCAUUCAUGGAUGAAAUUUCAUGUGAUGAUUUUGAGAGGGAUACAUAUAAUAAGGGAUAAAGAAUAUUCUUUAAUUUAAUUUUUCAACCGUACUCUUACUGAAAAACAUCCAAGUAGGACGUCUUGUAAGUUUUGAAUUUUUUUUUUUAUUUCAACUGUUGUUUGAUCCUGUAUAUCAGUCUUACUACCGGUACUAGAAUCACACAAAUUGUGGUAUCUUAUCUACAAAGCAUUAACGAAUGCCAAGAAAAUUAGUCAUGUUGUACAUGAAUUGAAGCAGAAACAGUUGAAUUUGUUCUUUUUGUUCCCUUCAUGGACAGUCGUAUUAAAGCUUUUGUCCAAAUAAACAUUAUACUGUGAGCAUUAGUAAGCAUUGUGCCCCCAAUUACUUUUGUAAAGCAAAGAGUGUUAGAAUCCACUAAUGAUUUAAAAAGAAUUCCAUUUUAGUUAUUUGAUUCAUUUCAAAGUCUUAUAUUUAUAUUUUCCUCCUUUAUCUUGCCCUUCUUAUCCUGUGGAUACCGAUUCUUAUUUUUAUAAAGUGCUUAGAAUUCAAAGGAAAUACUACCGUACAUGUUCAAGUAUAUGCUGGGGCGAAUAUAUGUAAGCAUACUUUCUUUAGACCUAGGAUACUUUAUAUUUUUUUGAAGUCUUUUGGAUUAGAAUUAUUAUAGGAUGUAUGGGAUGCCUAGUGACUCCAGCACACAGGCAUGGUUUUGAACCUUAGACCUCGGUAUUCCUAGACCAUAGCUUUAACCACUAAGCCAUGACACUUCAGUAUGCUGCUGUGAGUUCAUAAUGAUGUUCACUGUUUGUUCAUUCUUACCAGAUAUUAUAGGGCCCUGUGACACAAAGGUUUGCAAUCGAUAGAUGAAUUAACCACAUUUGGAAUAUAUUCUGCAUACAUUACUUGUUGCUAUAUCUGGCAAGCUCAGGCUGUUACAAACAAACUAUAUUUAAAUAUGUUAGUGAACCGGACUAGUGCAAAAUGACGAUGGCCAAUCAAGAUCAUUGUUGCAUGUAUAUCAUAUGUAUUGUUAACAAGGUCGACUAUUUACCAAUCAGAAUCAAUAUUUCAUAUUUACAAUUGAUCGCAAACCUUUGUGUCAUGCCCCCCCCCCCUCCCCCCAGAUUGUACGGAGACUUCAUUUGACUUCAGAGUAUAACAUGUGUACUUUCCUUUUUAUAUCGGUGAAUUUUGUUGUUUUUAUAUCUAUAUGGCAAUGUUUAAGUGAAUUAUCCUCUAUAGUCUGUACUUAAAAAAUGCAAACAUAAUUUGUUUAACUCGUUAGUCGUUACUAUCAAAUAGCUUGCUAGUCUUCUUUAGAAGUGAUAUCUUUAAUGGCUUAAAGGUUGAAAUGGAGAAAAAAAUACUGCUGUGUCACAUAUUUUGCACUUGAAAUUGA